GAUGAACGCUAGCGGCAGGCUUAAUACAUGCAAGUCGAGGGGCAGCACAGGUAGCAAUACUGGGUGGCGACCGGCAAACGGGUGCGGAACACGUACACAACUUACCUUAGAGUGGGGGAUAGCCCAGGGAAACUUGGAUUAAUACCCCAUAAAACAGGGGGCCCGCAUGGGCAUAUUGUUAAAGAUUUAUCGCUUUAAGAUGGGUGUGCGUAUGAUUAGGUAGUUGGUAGGGUAAAGGCCUACCAAGCCGACGAUCAUUAACUGGUGUGAGAGCACGACCAGUCACACGGGCACUGAGACACGGGCCCGACUCCUACGGGAGGCAGCAGUAAGGAAUAUUGGUCAAUGGACGGAAGUUUGAACCAGCCAUGCCGCGUGAAGGAUGAAGGUCCUCUGGAUUGUAAACUUCUUUUAUAGGGGGCGAAAAAGGGCCAUUCUUGGUCAACUGACGGUACCCUAUGAAUAAGCACCGGCUAACUCCGUGCCAGCAGCCGCUGUAA
rnacentral:rRNA from 1 species